rnacentral:rRNA from 1 species
UACGUAGGGUGCAAGCGUUAAUCGGAAUUACUGGGCGUAAAGCGUGCGCAGGCGGUUAUGCAAGAAAGAUGUGAAAUCCCCGGGCUCAACCUGGGAACUGCAUUUGUGACUGCAUGGCUGGAGUGCGGCAGAGGGGGAUGGAAUUCCGCGUGUAGCAGUGAAAUGCGUAGAUAUGCGGAGGAACACCGAUGGCGAAGGCAAUCCCCUGGGCCUGCACUGACGCUCAUGCACGAAAGCGUGGGGAGCAAACAGG